UCAGCUAGCUGGUGGGGUAACGGCCCACCAAGGCGACGAUGGGUAGCCGGCCUGAGAGGGUGACCGGCCACACUGGGACUGAGACACGGCCCAGACUCCUACGGGAGGCAGCAGUAGGGAAUCUUCCGCAAUGGGCGAAAGCCUGACGGAGCAACGCCGCGUGAGGGAGGAAGGCCCUUCGGGUCGUAAACCUCUGUUGUCAGGGACGAACAUGCGCGGUUCGAAGAGGGCCGCGCGCUGACGGUACCUGACGAGGAA
rnacentral:rRNA from 1 species